UCCCUUCUCCAGAGCGCCGUCGACCCCACGCCACGCAGAGGUGAAGAUACGCAGGACGUCCUCUAAAGCAACUUCCGUGGGUGCCAGGUUAUGGGCUGGGGGCGGUGCUGACCUUGAGAGAGCGGAGGAGGCGCAGGCGCAGCACAGUUUAAACUUGAUUUUGUGAGGGGACGAACAGCGUGACAAUUAAAGAAGAUCUAGGAAUCCUUCCUGAGGCCUUCACCAGAAGCAGAUGCUGGUGCCGUGCUUCUACAGCCUGCAGAACUGAAGGACUUUACAGCUUCUCUUUGGCAUAUCCAAAUUGCCAGCAUCACCGCUCUUGCACUGCAAGCCAUUAUUAAGUAAAGAACACAAACACUGUGAUACUGCUACACUUGAUCUGAUAACCAAGAAGUCUACUAAGUGACUAACAGCAGAGCAACUGGGAACCUAAUUCUGACCAACAAGGAGGAAUUGUUUGGCUAAUUGGAAGUGACAGAAACCUUGGGAGAAAGCAACCGCAUACCAAGGAUAAUUAUAAGAAGUAACUUUUUUGCCCAUUGGUGUCAUUUAACCAAAAGAAGAAGAAAUUCAAAAAAAAAAAAAAAAUCAACUGAAACAAAAGAAUAGACUGAAUUUGCCAAAGGAGUGCUUAAAUGGAGACCUAAGUCUUCAAAGCUAAGGUGAUGAGAAAAGAACAGGUCUUAAAUUUCUUCAGAGCUUCAAGAGGCAAAGCUUGAAAGAAGAAAAAAUUUUAUUCUUAGAAAGAAGACAUGGAGGAGGGAGUAGUUGUGACCGUGGAGGCAGAGAAUGGAGUAAUGUGAUCAUAAAUCAAGGAAUGCUGACAGCCACUAAAGCUGGAGAAGGCCAAGGACAGAUAUUCAGUCCUCCCGUAGAGAUUUAUAUAUCAGCUUUUUAUCAGUUGAAAUAAACCACCCUGGGCCAGGUGCAGUGGCUCACACCUGUAAUCCCAGCACUUUGGGAGGCAGGUAGAUCACUUGAGUUCAGGAGUUCAAGGCCAGCCUGACCAACAUGGUGAAACCGCAUCUCUACUAAAAAAUACAAAAAUUAGCCCGGCGUUGUGGCAGGCACUUGCAAUCCCAGCUACUCAGGAGGCUGAGGCACAAGAAUUCCUUGAACCUGGGAGGUGGAGGUUGCAGUGAGUCGAAACCAAGCCACUGCCCUCCAGUCUGGGCAACAGAUUGUCUCGAAAAAAAUAAAUACAUAAAAUAAAUAAGCCACACUGUACUUGUGAAGAUUAACUGAGAUGUUUAAAACAUUAUUUGAAAAAAUGCAAGGCAUGAUGUAAGUGUAAAGCAUUAUUAUAUAUCAACAUAAUUGACCAUUAGAAAAAUGCAAAUUAACACCUCAAUGAGAUAUAUCACCAGACACCUGUUAGAAUGGUUACAAUAAAAAGUACUGAUGAUAUUAAGUGCUGAUAAAAUGCAGAGUAACUCGAUCUCUCAUACAUUGCUGAUGCUAAUGUAAAAUGAUAUCACCACUCUAGAAAACAGUUUGGCCGUUUCUUAUAAAGUUAAACAUGCACUUACUAUACAACCCAGUAAUACAACUACUGGAUAUUCAUUCUAGGGAGAUCAAAAUUUACACCCAAAAACAUGUACAUAAAUGUUCAUAUCAGCUUUAUUUGCAAUAGCACAAAAUGAAACAAUCAGAUGUCCUCCAAUUGAUAACUGGUAUAACCCUAUCACGGAAUCCUACUGAGCAAUAAAAAGGAAAGCACUGUUGAUACAUACAACAACUUGAGUGCAUUUCAAGGCUGUUAUGCUGACUGAAAUAAAAGCUAAUCUCAAAAGGUUAUGUAUUAUGUGAUUCUGUUUAUAUAACAUUCUUAAAAUGGCAAAAUCACAGCAAUGAAGAACUGAUCAGUAGUGCCAGGGGUUAGGGUUGUGGGGAGAGUGUGAGCAUGAAUGGGCAGCGUAAGAGAAUUUCUUUGGAGUGACGGAAUAGUUUUAUAUCUUGAUUAUGGUGAUCAUUAUAUUAAACAAUUGCAUGUGAUAAAAUUCUAUAGGACUGUAUGCCAAAAAUAAAUUAAUAUGUUUAUUUUUAAGGUCUGGAAAGCAUGGAAAUUUGUAUCUUCAUUCACUUUUGUUUUCAUGGACUCUUUUCAUGUUUGAACUUUUCAUGACGGAGUCCUGCUGUGUUGUCCAGGCUGGUCUUGAACCCCGGGACUCAAACGAUCCUUCUCCUUGGCCUCCCAAAGUUCUGGGAUUACAGGUAUGAGCUACAGUGCCCUGAGAGUCCUUUUUAAAGUGAAUGCUCAAACAUGGAAUUAAAUUUAGGCAAAGCUCACUUUUAUUUAUACAUAAAACAACUUCAGCCAUGUACCUCAUAACAAUAUUUUGACCAAUGUCUGACCUUAUAUACAAUGGUUGUCCUGUACGAUUAUAAUGAAGCUGAAAAUUUUCUAUUGCCUAGUAACAUUGUAGUAAUUGUAAUGUAGCACAACCUAUCGCACGUGUUUGUAGUGAUGCUGGUGUAAACAAACCGACUGCAUUGCCAGUCUAGUAUAAAAGUCUAGCACACACAGUUAUCCACAGUAUAUAGUACUUGAUAAUGAUAAUAAACAACUGUCACUGGCUUAUAUAUUUGCUAUACUUUACUUUUUAUCAUUAUUUUGGAGUAUAUUUAGAGUAUAUUAAGCAGCCUUAGGCAGGUCUUUCAGGAGGCAUUCCAGAAGGAGGCAUUCCAGAAGAAGGCAUUGUUAUCAUAGGAGGUGACAGCUCCCUGUGUGUUGUUGCCCCUGAAGAACUUCCAGUGGGACAAGAUAUGGUGGUGAAAGACAGUGAUAUUGAUGAUCUUGACCCUGUGUAGGCUUAGGCUCAUGUGUUUGUGUCUUCGUUCUUUUUUUUUUUUUUUUUUGAGAUGGGGUCUUGCACUGUUGCCCAGGCUGGAGUGCAGUGGCGCGAUCUUGGCUCACUGCAAGCUCCGCCUCCUGGGUUGAUGCCAUUCUCCUGCCUCAGCCUCCCGAGUAGCUGGGACUACAGGUGCCCACCACUACACCCGACUAAUUUUUUGUACUUUUAGUAGAGAUGGGGUUUCACCAUGUUAGCCAGGAUGGUCUUGACCUCCUGACCUCGUGAUCCACCCGCCUCGGCCUCCCAAAGUGCUGGGAUUACAGUAUUUAAAACAUUUUUUUAAAUUAAAAAUUUUUUAAAUAGAAAAAAGCCUAUAGCAUAAGGAUAUAACGAAAAAGUAUUUUUAUCCAGCUGCACAAUGUAUUUGUGUUUUAAACUGUGUUAUUAUGCAAGAGUUACAAAGUUUUUAAAAAUAAAAAGUUUAUAAAGUAAAAAACUUACAACACAUCAAAAGAUAAUACACCAUGAUCAAGUGGGCUUUAUCCCAGGGAUGCAAGCAUAGUUCAACAUAUGCAAAUUAAUAAGUGAUAUCAACAGAAUGAAGGACAAAAGCUUUAUGAUCAUCUUAACAGAUACAGAAAAGCAUUUGAUAAAAUUUAAAUUCCUUCAUGAUAAAAACUCUCAACAAAUUAGGCAUAGAAGGAACAUACCUCAGCAUAUUAAGGGCCAUAUAUGGUUAACCCAGAGCUAAAAUCAUACUGAACAGGCAAAAGCUGAAAGCCUUUCUGCAAAGAACUGGAACAAGACAAGGAUGACCACUUUCACCACUCUUAUUCAACAUGGUACUGGAAGUCCUAGCCAGAGCAAUCAGGCAAGAGAAAGAAUUAAAAGACAUCCAGUUGGAAAAAAGGAGGUCAUAUAUUUUCUCUUUGCAGACAACGUAAUCUUAAAUCUAGAAAAACCUGAAGACUCCACCAAAAAGGCUGAGCAUGGUGACUCAUGCCUGUAAUCUCAGCACUUUGAGAGGCUGAGGCAGGAGGAUCACUUGAGCCCAGGGGUUCAAGACCAGCCUGGACAACAUAGUGAGACCCCAAUCUCUAAAAAAAGUUAAAAACUUUAGCCAGGUGUGGUGGCACAUGCCUGUUGUAUUAGCUGCUUGUGAGCCUGGGGUGGGAGGAUCACUUGAGCCCUGGAGUUCAAGGCUGCAGUGAGCAAUGAUCAUGCCACUGCACUGUAGCCUGGGUUGUGACAGUGCAAGACACUGUUAAUAAACAAAACUAAGACAAAACAGACUCCACCAAAAAGCUCUUAGAAUUGAUAAACAAAUUCAGUAAAGUUUCAGGAUCCAAAACCAACAUGCAAAAAUUAGUAGUGUUUCUAUACGCCAAUAACAAACAAGCUGAAAAAUACAUUAAGAAAGCAAUUCCAUUUACAAUAGCUACAAAAAAAGAACUUAGAAAUAAAUGUAACCAAGGCAGUAAAAGACCUCUAUGCCAUAAACGACAGAACAUUGAUGAAAGAAAUUGAAAAGGACACAAACAAAUAGAAAAUAGAAAGAUAUCCCAUGUUCAUGGAUAGAAAUAAUUAAUAUUGUUAAAAUGACCAUACUACUGAAAGUAAUCUACAGAUUCAAUGCAAUCCCUAUCAAAACACCAGUAAAAUUACUCACAGAAAUAGAAAAAAAAAAUCCUAAAAUUUGUAUGGAACAACAAAGGCCCUAAGUAGCCAAAGCAUUCCUGAGCAAAAAUUAUAAAGUGAGAGGCAUUGCCCAACCAGACUUCAAAAUAUACUACUAAGCUAAGUAACCCAAACAACAUGUUACUAGUAUAAAAACAGACACAUAUACCAAUGGAACAGAAUAGAGAACCCAAGAAUAAUCUAUCUAUUUAUAGCCAACUGAUUUUUUGUGAACAUGCCAAGAAUAUACAUUGGGGAAAGGAUAGUCUCUUUAAUAAAUCAUGUUGGGAAAAUUGGAUAUCCGUAUACAGAAGAAUGACACUAAACUCCUAUCUCUCACCAUAUACAAAUAUCAAUUCAAAAUGAAUUUAAAAACUUAAAUAUGAGACUCCAAACUGUAAAACUACCAAAAGAAAACACAGAAGAAACACUUCAGGACAUUGGUCUACAUUGGUCUAGCCAAAGAUUUUACGUCUAAGACUUCAAAAGCAUAGGCAACAGAAACAAAAAUAAAUAAAUAAAUGGGAUUAUAUUAAACUAAAAAACUUCUGCACAGCAAAGGAAACAAUCAACAGAGUGAAGAGAUGACUUGUAGAGUGACAGAAAGUAUUUGCAAAAUAUUAAUCUGAUAAGGGACUAAUAUCCAGAAUAUACAAGAAACUCAACAGGAAAAAAAAAUCCCAUUAAAAAGUGGGCGAAGGAUCUGAAUAGAUAUUUCUCGAAAGAAAACAAGCAAACGGCCAACAAAUACAUGAAAAAAUGCCCAACAUCACUAAUCAUCAGGGAAAUGCAGAUCAAAACCACAGUGAGAUAUCAUCUCACCCCAGUUAGAAUGGCUAUUAUCAAAAAGGCAAAAAAUAGGUGUGGUGGCAUGUGUCUGUGAUCCCAGCUACUCAGGAGGUUGGGGCCAGGAAUUUAAGCUGCAGUGCGCUAUGAUCACACCUGUGAUCACUGCACUCUAGCCUGGGCAACAUAAUGAGAACCCAUCUCUAAAAAAAUACUAAUAAUUAAACAUUUUUAAGAAGACAAGAAAUAAAUGCUGGCCAGGAUUCAGAGAAAAAGAAACAUACGCUAUUGGUGAGAAUGUAAAUUAGUACAGCUAUUGGCCAGGUGCAGUGGCUCAUGCCUGUAAUCCCAGCACUUUGGGAGGCCAAGGUGGGCAGAUCACUUGAGGCCAGGAGUUCAAGACUUGCCUGGCCAUCUCUACUAAAAAUACAAAAAUUAGCCAGGCAUGGUGGGACACACCUGUAAUCCCAGCUACUUGGGAGGCUGACAUGGGAGAAUCAUCUGAGCUUGAGAGGUGGAGAUUGCAGUGAGCCGAGAUCAUGCCUCUGCACUCCAGCCUGGGUGAUAGAGUGAGACUCCAUCUCAAAACACACACACACACACACACACACACAUACACACACAAAAAAACAAACAACAACAAAAACAAUUAAUACAGCCAUUAUGGAAAACAGUAUGGAGGUUUCUCAAAAACUGAAAAUACAACUUCCGUAUGAUCCAGCAAUCCCACUACUGGGUAUUUAUCUCCCCAGAAGGGAAAUCAGUAUAUCAAAGAGACAUCUUCACCCCAUUGUUUAUUGCAGCGCUAUUCACAAUAGUCAAGGUAUGAAAUCAAACUAAGCAUCCCUCAACAGAUGGAUAAAGAAAAUGUGCUAUAUAUACACAAUGGAAUACUAUUCUGCAACAAAAAGGGAAUAAAAUCCUAUCAUUUGUAGCAAUAUGGACAGAACUGGAGGUCAUUAUGUUAAGUGCGAUUAGCCAGGUACAGAAAGACAAAUAUUGCAUGAUCUCACUCAUGUGGGAGCUAAGAAAGUUGAUCUCAUGGAGGUAGAGAGUAGAAAAAAAGUUGAGAUUAGGAAGGGUGUGGUGGAGUGAGUAAAGUGAGGUUGGUUAAAGGGUAGAAACACAGAAAGAAGGGAUAAGUUCUAAUGUUUAAUAGCAUGUAGGAUGGCUAUAGUUAACAAUAAUUUAUUGUAUAUUUAAAAAUAGCUGCAAGAGAAUAUUUGAAAUGUUCACAACACAAAGAAAUAAUAAAUGUUUGAGGUAAUGGAUAUCCUAAAUACAUUGAUUUGAUCCUUACACACUGUAUGCAUGUACCCCAGAAAUAUGUAUAUUUAUUAGAUAUCAAUAGUUUUUUAAAAGUUAAAAAGGAACAAAACCAUGAAAAAUUUAUAGUAAGCUAAGAUUAAUUCAUUAUUUAAGAAAUAUUUUUAAAAAUACAUUUGGGGUAGCCUAAGUGUACAGUGUUUAUAAAGUCUACAGUACUAGACAGUAAUGUCCUCAGCCUUCACAUUCACUCACCACUCACUCACUGACUCACCCAGAACAACUUCCAGUACUGCAAGCUCUGUUCAUGGAAGUGCCCUAGACAGGUGUACCAUUUUUAAUCUUUUAUACUGUAUUUUUACUGUAUCUUUUCUAUGUUUAGAUACCAAAGUACUUCCCAUUGUGUUACAAUUGCUUAGAGCAUUCAGUACAGUAACAUGCUAUGUUUAUAAUCUAAGAGUAAUCAGCUAUACUGUACAGUCUAGGUGUGUAGUUGGCAAUACCAUCUAGGCUUGUGUAAGUAUAUUCUAUGAUUUUCAUACAACAAAAUCACCUAAUGAUGCAUUUUUCAGAACUUAUUCUUGUCUGUUAAGCAACAUGUGACUGUGUUUUAUUCUUAUUUUUAAAUUUUACAUUAUCUUUUCAAGGAAACCUCUGGAAAAAAAAAAUUAUACCAAAAUUUUCACUGCCCACUCAAAGUGGUCUAUUUUUACUGUUUAUCUUACAACUGAAGAGACUAUCCAUGCCUUGCUAAAUUCUACUUUAGCUGCUGAGUCUGUCUAUAUACUUAAUAAAUUUACUGUCAUUCAAAUUACAUAAUAAACAUAGGAGCUUACAAUUACUUUUCUAGGAUAAAAUCUAUGCAGGAAGUUUGUCUCAGAGGAAUUUUUGCUGGGUGGCACACGUCUGUAAUCCCAGCACUUUGGGAGCCUGAGGUGGGAGGCUCACUUGAGCCCAGGUGUUCAAGAUCAGCCUAGGCAACAUUGUGAGACUCCAUAUCUACAUGGAGUCCCAGCUCCAUGUAGAUAUGUGUGGUGGCAUGCACCUGUAGUCCCAGCUACAAGGGAGGCUGAGGUGGGAAGAUUGCUUGAGCUCAGGAGGUCGAGGUUGUAGUGAUCUGUGAUCAUACUGCUGCACUCCAGUUUGGGUGACAGAGUGAGACCCUAUGUCAAAAAUAACAUAAAAAGUGGAUUUUUAAUAAGAUAAUCCUUAUGGAUACUAAAAUAUUAGCUUUCUUUGGGCAGUAUAACUUCCCCUGUCAAUGAGAUUACCAAUAUUUGCCAAUAUUUUCAGUCUUCCUGUCUUUUCUGGAUAUGUAAAAUUCUACAUUUCUUAGUUCUGCAAGUUGAGCAGGGCCAUGUGACUAAUUCUACCAAUGGACAGUGACCAAAGGUGAUAUGUAUCACUUCCAUGCCAAAGCAUGUAAGAGUCAGUGUAUGAUUUGCCCAUCCAUACUGUCUUUUCUGGAACAAAGAGCCCUGAGAUAUCACAUUGAAAUGGAGACACCAGAAAAAGGGAGCAAUCUGGAAUGUUGAGUCACUAUGUGAAGGGCUGACAUGGAGAAACUCCUGCACUCUUGGCAGAUUUGCCUGAGUAAGAAACUGUCAUGUGAUAGGACUCUCAGAUUUUUGUUUAGUUUAUAACUAUCAGCAUUGUUCCCUAGCCUAUCCUGACAAACAGAAUCUGUACGCUAACUUGGUUUGUCGUGUUAAAAGUUUUCAUGGCCUUUUGUGCUCCCAUACAUUAGAUGAACAGUUGUAUAUACAUUUUCAAAUUUUCCAGUAAGGAAGUAUUUAAUAUGAUAAACAUUUCAAUUAAUAAUUUGCUCUAUUAGUCUCUAGUACCAACUUAAGAUGUCAAAUUUCUAAUCUAAAUGAACAAUACUUUUCAUUACAUAUAUAAGUUUAUCUCAUACUUAUACCCUGUGUUAAUCAUUACCAAACAAUAGAAAGGGUACAUUUUUGUUGUUGUUGUUGUUAUUGUUGUUGUUGUUUUGAGAUGGAGUUUCAUUCUUGUCACCCAGGCUGGAGCACAAUGCCACGAUCUCAGCUCACUGAAACCUCCACCUCCUGUGUUCAAGCGAUUCUCCCAUCUCAGCCUCCCAAGUAGCUGGGAUUACAGGCACGCACCACCACGCCUGGCUAAUUUUUGUAUUUUUAGUAGAGAUGGGGUUUCACCAUGUUGGCCAGGCUGGUCUCGAACUCCUGACCUCAGGUGAUUCAUCCACCUCAGCCUCCCAAAGUGCUGGGAUUACAGGCGUGAGCCACUGUGCUGGGCCAGGUACAUUUGUGUAUGCAGUCUUCUUUUUAAAUUUUUUAAAAAAUAUUAUUUUAAAAAAUAUUUUGUAGAGGCAAGGUUUCGCUAUGUUUCCCAGGCUGGUCUCGAACUUCUGGCCUCAAGCGAUUCUUUUGCCUCAGCCUCCAAAACUACUGGGAUUACAGCACGAGCCAUCAUGCCCAGCUAUACAGCCUUCUAAUUUACUAAAUAACGUUGAUGUGCUUGAUCAUAUUCCCUGGAAAACAGACCCUGAGAUGGAGAUUUGCAUGCAGGAAUAUUUAUUCGAGAAUGCUCUUAGAAUCAACACUGGUGAAAUGCAGGAUUGAGUAGAGGGAGAAGUUCGCUGUGAUGUACUUACAAUAAAGCCUAAGCUGACCCUAGGAUGGCUCUAAAGCUAGAGUGGCACUUUAGAGGCAUCCCAAAUGAAGGCAGAGGGUUGAACCUCUGUAUGUACAUCAAUGGCCACUCAUUUAUCUAAUGGCUGACUCCUGGAGAUGAGUGUGACCUUGAGUAAGGCUGAGAGCAAUUCCUGUAUGGAGCUGAUAUUUUGAGAGCUGUCAGCCAACGUCAUUCCCAGAAGCUGAGCAAAGAAUUCUUUCAGCCCUGAAAAGGAAUCUGGGUAGUAUAGCUGUGUUCAAUACAACUGAUAAUCAUAAAGGGACAUGUAUCUAUCUGAAGUUGUUAGAUGAUCACCAACACCACCACCACCACCAUCAUCAUUGUCAUCAUCAUCACAUUUACACUGAUAACUUUAGUAUGUGCCAGGCACUUGUCCUAAGUGCUUCGAAAUAAUAUAUUAACUUGUGUAAUUCUCAUGUUAACCCUAUAAUAUAAUCUUAAAUGCUUUGUCCUCAAAAAUAAAAAUCAAUAUAAGUGCUUUUUCUGUAACACAUUCCAAUCCAGAAUGCUUUACUAAUGACCAUUCAGUAAUUUCCAUUGUAUGUUAUUUUAUCCAUCAUGAACAGCCCCAUUUGGUGGUAGUCAUUGGCCAAGAUAGUUACUUUUGCUCAUGGGUUGCAUCUUCUAAAUAAUGGAUGGUAUUAUGAUGUCUGUAAUUUACUUUCAAAUAAAUGAUCACAGAUAAUA